UGGGGAAUAUUGGACAAUGGGCGAAAGCCUGAUCCAGCCAUGCCGCGUGUGUGAAGAAGGCCUUAUGGUUGUAAAGCACUUUAAGCGAGGAGGAGGGUACUGGUAUUAAUACUACUGGAUAGUGGACGUUACUCGCAGAAUAAGCACCGGCUAACUCUGUGCCAGCAGCCGCGGUAAUACAGAGGGUGCGAGCGUUAAUCGGAUUUACUGGGCGUAAAGCGUGCGUAGGCGGCUGAUUAAGUCGGAUGUGAAAUCCCUGAGCUUAACUUAGGAAUUGCAUUCGAUACUGGUCAGCUAGAGUAUGGGAGAGGAUGGUAGAAUUCCAGGUGUAGCGGUGAAAUGCGUAGAGAUCUGGAGGAAUACCGAUGGCGAAGGCAGCCAUCUGGCCUAAUACUGACGCUGAGGUACGAAAGCAUGGGGAGCAAACAGG
rnacentral:rRNA from 1 species